rnacentral:rRNA from 1 species
GAGACUCUGUGCGCGUGCAUAUCAAUAAGCGGAGGAAAAGAAACUAACAAGGAUUCCCUUAGUAACGGCGAGUGAAGCGGGAAGAGCUCAAAUUUGAAAUCUUCAAGGUUUUACCUUGACGAAUUGUAGUUUAAAGAAGUGUUUUCUGUUGGAGUUUUGGUAAAAGUUCUUUGGAAUAGGACAUCAUAGAGGGUGAGAAUCCCGCAUUUGAUCACUUUCUACUAACGUUGUGAUACACUUUCAAAGAGUCGGAUUGUUUGGGAAUGCAGUCCAAAAUGGGUGGUAAAUUUCAUCUAAAGCUAAAUAUUGGCGAGAGACCGAUAGCGAACAAGUACCGUGAGGGAAAGAUGAUAAGAACUUUGAAAAGAGAGUUAAACAGUACGUGAAAUUGUCAAAAGGGAAGCGUUUGACACCAGUGUUGUUUUUCGAAAAUCAAUUCAAGAACUGUUUGAUUUUGAGUAGUAUUGACUUCAUCAGCUUGCUGCUUUCCUUUACGAAAUUAUUGAAUGCACUUUUCAGGUUAACAAGUCAACAUCAAUUUCUUUUGUUGUAAAAGGGUAUGAGGAAGGUGGCUUACUCUUCGGCGUAAAGUGUUUAUAGCCUUGUAGCCUCUGCAAUCGGAGAGAUUGAGGUACUGCAGCGUAGACUCUUCGGGGUUAGAUACACUUGUGCUAAGCUAUAGCCUUGUAUAGACAACUUGUUGACUAUGCUCAGUCAUGUAGCUUACUCGCUUAUGCUAUUUUACCUACGCUUAGGAUGUUGACGAUCAGCUGAGCGCG